rnacentral:rRNA from 1 species
GUUAAGCGACUAAGCGUACACGGUGGAUGCCCUGGCAGUCAGAGGCGAUGAAGGGCGUGCUAAUCUGCGAUAAGCGCCGGUAAGGUGAUAUGAACCGUUAUAACCGGCGAUACCCGAAUGGGGAAACCCAGUGUGACUCGUCACACUAUCAUUAACUGAAUCCAUAGGUUAAUGAGGCGAACCGGGGGAACUGAAACAUCUAAGUACCCCGAGGAAAAGAAAUCAACCGAGAUUCCCCCAGUAGCGGCGAGCGAACGGGGAGGAGCCCAGAGCCUGAAUCAGCAUGUGUGUUAGUGGAAGCGUCUGGAAAGGCGCGCGAUACAGGGUGACAGCCCCGUACACAAAAGCGCAUGUGCUGUGAGCUCGAUGAGUAGGGCGGGACACGUGGUAUCCUGUCUGAAUAUGGGGGGACCAUCCUCCAAGGCUAAAUACUCCUGACUGACCGAUAGUGAACCAGUACCGUGAGGGAAAGGCGAAAAGAACCCCGGCGAGGGGAGUGAAAAAGAACCUGAAACCGUGUACGUACAAGCAGUGGGAGCACCCUUUUGGGUGUGACUGCGUACCUUUUGUAUAAUGGGUCAGCGACUUAUAUUCUGUAGCAAGGUUAACCGUAUAGGGGAGCCGUAGGGAAACCGAGUCUUAACCGGGCGUUAAGUUGCAGGGUAUAGACCCGAAACCCGGUGAUCUAGCCAUGGGCAGGUUGAAGGUUGGGUAACACUAACUGGAGGACCGAACCGACUAAUGUUGAAAAAUUAGCGGAUGACCUGUGGCUGGGGGUGAAAGGCCAAUCAAACCGGGAGAUAGCUGGUUCUCCCCGAAAGCUAUUUAGGUAGCGCCUCGUGAAUUCAUCUCCGGGGGUAGAGCACUGUUUCGGCUAGGGGGCCAUCCCGGCUUACCAACCCGAUGCAAACUGCGAAUACCGGAGAAUGUUAUCACGGGAGACACACGGCGGGUGCUAACGUCCGUCGUGAAGAGGGAAACAACCCAGACCGCCAGCUAAGGUCCCAAAGUCAUGGUUAAGUGGGAAACGAUGUGGGAAGGCCCAGACAGCCAGGAUGUUGGCUUAGAAGCAGCCAUCAUUUAAAGAAAGCGUAAUAGCUCACUGGUCGAGUCGGCCUGCGCGGAAGAUGUAACGGGGCUAAACCAUGCACCGAAGCUGCGGCAGCGACGCUUAUGCGUUGUUGGGUAGGGGAGCGUUCUGUAAGCCUGUGAAGGUGUGUCGUGAGGCAUGCUGGAGGUAUCAGAAGUGCGAAUGCUGACAUAAGUAACGAUAAAGCGGGUGAAAAGCCCGCUCGCCGGAAGACCAAGGGUUCCUGUCCAACGUUAAUCGGGGCAGGGUGAGUCGACCCCUAAGGCGAGGCCGAAAGGCGUAGUCGAUGGGAAACGGGUUAAUAUUCCCGUACUUGGUGUUACUGCGAAGGGGGGACGGAGAAGGCUAUGUUGGCCGGGCGACGGUUGUCCCGGUUUAAGCGUGUAGGUGUGUGUUCCAGGUAAAUCCGGUUCACUUUAACACUGAGGCGUGACGACGAGGCACUACGGUGCUGAAGCAACAAAUGCCCUGCUUCCAGGAAAAGCCUCUAAGCAUCAGGUAACAUCAAAUCGUACCCCAAACCGACACAGGUGGUCAGGUAGAGAAUACCAAGGCGCUUGAGAGAACUCGGGUGAAGGAACUAGGCAAAAUGGUGCCGUAACU